AAUUCUUUACUACUGCACUACCUGGGAAGCUCUAGAAGACUCUGCAUACUACCUGGCAAAUAUUUGAGCUUAAGAUAAGAACCUCUCUCAUCUCAGUAGUGAAAGGGUCAGGAUGGGAAUAAAAAGGCAUGGGGACCAGCAGCCACCAAAAUGAGAUCUGGAAGAUGUCUUUCUCCAUCCAGGGGUAGAUUCCUUUGUGGCUCCAGGUCUCCCGCUAUGCUUGUUUGUAAACCGCAAAUGCAGUCGCCAAGUCAGAUUCAAACCCUGUGCACUAUCGAGGCCCUCUCGAUCCUUCCCCUAUCCUAAACUCCCUUCUGGACGACUGUGAUACUUAUCCUGAUUCCUAAGCAUGUGGACAUUCUUCAGCCUCUGCUAGGAGUGUCUUUUCCCUCCUUGGCCCCCUGAAGAAUAGCUGCUUAUUCCUUGCAUCUCAGUUUAUUUAUUUAUUGUUUUUUAAAAUGUAAACAAGAUUUUAAUUAAAAAAUUUAGUGAGAAGAGUGGCAUUGUUUUCAUGUUUGCAAAUCUUUUUAAUAUCUGUUGACAGAAGGGAGCUAGUUAUUCAUACAUGCUUCUUUAAAAAAAUGUUACUGGGGUACAGUUGCUUUGCAAUGUGGUGUUAGUUUCUACUGUACAGCACACUGAACCAGCCAUACAUAUGCACAUUGCCCCUGUUCUUUGAAUUUCCUUUCCACUCAGGUCACCACAAAGCACUGAGUAGAGUUCCCUGUGCUAGAGUAUCUUUGUGACCCCGUGGACUGUAGCCCACCAGGCUCCUCCAUCCAUGGGANNNNNNNNNNNNNNNNNNNNNNNNNNNNNNCCAUUUCCUUCUCCAGGGGAUCUUCCUGACCCUGGGAUCGAACCCAGGUCCCCCGCAUGUGGGCAGAUGCUUUAACCUCUGAGCCACCAGGGAAGCCCAAAUUCUCAUUAGUUACCUAUUUUAUGCACAGUAGUGUAUAUAUGUCAAUCCCAAUCUCCCAGUUCAUUCCAUCCCCUCACACCUCGGUUUAAAAAUGCCUUGCUCUGGAAGGCAUGCUAGGAUGCACCAGGCAGCAUUAAGGCUUUCCACUGUGUGAUCACAUAGCGCCCGGUAUGUAAGACUAUUACAACAUUGGGCCAGCAUAUCCUGACUGCCCCCUCUUCUGUGUACCUCAGGCACAGAAGAGCACUUUGGAGACUGAAAUGAUAUUUUAUUUUUGCAUCUCCAAAGCC
rnacentral:lncRNA from 1 species